rnacentral:rRNA from 1 species
CCUACGGGUGGCAGCAGUGAGGAAUAUUGGUCAAUGGCCGAGAGGCUGAACCAGCCAAGUCGCGUGAGGGAAGACGGCCCUACGGGUUGUAAACCUCUUUUUUCGGGGAGCAAAUAGAGUCACGUGUGACUCAUUGAGAGUACCCUAAGAAAAAGCAUAGGCUAACUCCGUUCCAGCAGCAGCGGUAAUACGGAGGAUGCGAGCGUUAUCCGGAUUUAUUGGGUUUAAAGGGUGCGUAGGCGGAAUGCCAAGUCAGCGGUAAAAUCGCGGGGCUAAGCCUCGCUGCGCCGUGGAAACUGGCGUUCUUGAGUGGGCGAGAAGUAUGCGGAAUGCGAGGUGUAGCGGUGAAAUGCACAGAUAUAACGCAGAACUCCGAUUGCGAAGGCAGCAUACCGGUGCCCAACUGACGCUGAAGCACGAAAGCGUGGGUAUCGAACAGGAUUAGAUACCCUUGUAGUC